GGAGUUCCCGUCCUGGCUCAGUGAUAAAGAACCCGACUAGUAUCCAUGAGGAUGCGGGUCCGAUCCCUGGCCUCGCCCAGUGGGUUAAAAACCCAGUGUUGCUGUGAGCUGUGGUGUAGGUUGCAAAUGCAGCUCAGAUCCCACGUUGCUGCGGUUGUGUUGUAGGCUUGCAGCUGCAGCUCCAAUUCAACCAAUAGCCUAGGAACCUCCAUAUGAGGCAACUGCAGCCCUAAAAAAACAAACAAAAAACCUGUCUUGCCGAUUAAGAGUGACUGCUGCUUCUUUACCAGUUACAAGUGCAGCCUUUGUCUAGUGGUCCUGCCUUUCAGACCUGACAGUAAGACAUCCGGUGGAGGCAUCGCCCCCCAGUUCUGACAUCCAAUCCAGAGCAAAGCUCCACUUCCCUAAGUGUUUCCCAAAUCAGUGAACGUGAACGCAGACCUUCUAGUCCUUUGUGCAUUGCUUUACUGAGAUUUCCAGCAACGGUUUUCCUCGCUGGGAUGAAUAAGAAACCCAACUUGGUCAACUACAGCUGUGCCUCUGGCCAUCUCUGGCUUAGGACAUUGUUGGACCCAGCAAGCCCACAGGUCUCAUCUCAUUGACCGUUCGCCUCCUCUUUGUGAAAUCCUCUCUGCUCUCCCCUCACCCGUAACAGCCGAACUGCAGAGGUGCUCUGAAGUGAAUAGUCUCCAUUUGCUCACCUCUCAGUCCACCCCAGCCUUGCUCCACCUCGUCGCUUCUCCAGAACAGCUCUAGCAAGGCUCACCAGAACCGCUCUUCCCCGUCUGCUGCUAAAUGGAACUGGCGUGUUGAAGCAUCUUCUUGCAUGAGCCAUUAUAUGAUUUCCAAGGCUCGGUCAUAAAGGCCAGGUUCUGCCUGGUUCUCUGGAGGUGCUUGCUCGAGAGGAAGUCAGUCACCGAGUAACAAGUCCUGCUACCCUGAGACUGCCCUGCUGGAAAAGCCACACUGGGACCCUGUACUCAGCAACCCUGCUGACCUGCCAGCUGACAGCCAGCAGUGACAGCCAGCCAAGCCGAGCGAGUCAUCUCGGACAUUCGUUCCAGGCGAGCCUCAGACUAAGGAUCUGAGCCCCAGCCAACGUCCAACUCCAACCUCCAGAGAGACCCCAGGCGAGGAUGGCCCAGCUAAGCCCUUCGUGAAGUCCUGAUCCGCAGAGCCACAAGCCAGAUAAAAUCAGGGCCCUCCAGGGUCUCUCCUUAUGCAGGUUUUUCCAAGCUCACACUUUCCACUCUUCGACUGUGGCCCAGCCCCCGGGCUUCUCUUCUGUCCAGUUUCAACCUCAAGCCCAGGCCCUUGCAGUUCCUAAGAACUCCCUCUGGCUCCCAAAGUGUCUGCCACCUGCUCAGCUCCAAGAGGACUUCUUCAAAAGGCUUUCCUGGACCCCCAUCUCAGGCAUUUAGCUCCAGUAUCACUAGGCAGGAUACCCUUGCCUCUGAGUGGACUGGGAGUUGACCAGAAAGAGCUUGAGGGAACUUUCUGGGGUGAAGGGAACACGCAACAGCUCGAUAAGCAUCUGGGUUACCAAAAUGCCGCGGACUCUGAGAUGAACGGAGGGCGAUCCAGAUGCGAGGAGGCUCCAUCCCGAGGUAAACGGACCGUCGGUGGCGAGGACACAGCUGUGUGGCACUUCGCUGUGUGUUCGCAAAUUUCUCGACGGAGGUACUGGGGAGAAGAGAAGGCAGCUCUAAGUCCUUUGCCGUUUGCUCCAGGCGCCGGCCCACCUCACAGCUGGCCUGGCCCGGGGUGAGCCCGCCUCACCUGAGCGUGCCCGGGUGGCAUGGCUGGGGCAGCUCUGGGGACAGUAUCCUGAAGGAGACGUGGUCACACUUCAAGGGGCGGCGGGGUGGAGCCUUGGAGGAGGGCAGGGCCCUAAAGCAGGAUCUGGCCCGGGGCGAGGGAGACUGCAGAAACUGGGUGGGGCCUGGAGCCCGCUUCCCUCCCCGCAGAUCCCUCGCGUGCCGUCCAGCAGCCGCCGCCCAGGCCAGCAGAGCGGCGGGUAAAGAAACGGCGAGUCCUUUUCGUAUCCCGCUUAUUACGCAGACUACACAAGAGCGGCGGAGAUGCCAGCGCCGCACCCCCUGGCACGGAGACCCCAAAGGCCGGGACUGCAAACUCCAAGCUGGGGCCCCCCGCGGCUAAGCCCCUCCCACCAGCCUCCCAGGGAGACGAGGGCGUGGCCUCGCAGCAGCUCCUCCCACCAGAGGCUGCGCCUUGUCUGAGAUUCAGCUGUGGCUGCGCGGCCUGUGCGCGUCCACGUGAGGGCGUCAGGACCCCUAGGCUCGCUUCUCGGCUUUUCCUUAAUAGCCCUCCACCCAUAGGCCCGACUGCACCAUCAGGGUCCUCGGGGAGUAGGGAGAGAUUGAGGGAAAUUCAGACGAAUCCUCAACUUAAGAAAAGAUGCUCCAUCACGAAGGAAGUGAGUAUUAAAAGUCAUCAGGGAGUUCCCGUCGUGGCGCAGUGGUUAACGAAUCCAACUAGGAACCAUGAGGUUGCGGGUUCGGUCCCUGCCCUUGCUCAGUGGGUUAACGAUCCAGCGUUGUCGUGAGCUGUGGUGUAGGUUGCAGAUGCGGCUCGGAUCCCGCGUUGCUGUGGCUCUGGCGUAGGCCGGUGGCUACAGCUCCGAUUCGACCCCUAGCCUGGGAAACUCCAUAUGCCGCGGGAGCGGCCCUAGAAAUGGCAAAAAGACAAAAAAAAGAAAAAAAAAGAAAAAAAG
rnacentral:lncRNA from 9 species